rnacentral:tRNA from 2 species
GGGGGUGUAGCUCACAUGGGAGAGCGCUUGAAUGGCAUUCAAGAGGUAAGGAGUUCGAUCCUCCUCAUCUCCACCA